rnacentral:rRNA from 1 species
UACGUAGGGGGCAAGCGUUGUCCGGAAUCAUUGGGCGUAAAGAGCGCGUAGGCGGCCCUGUAAGUCCGCUGUGAAAGUCAAGGGCUCAACCCUUGAAUGCCGGUGGAUACUGCAGGGCUAGAGUCCGGAAGAGGCGAGUGGAACUCCGAGUGUAGAGGUGAAAUUCGUAGAUAUUCGGAAGAACACCAGUGGCGAAGGCGGCUCACUGGUCCGGUACUGACGCUGAGGUGCGAAAGCGUGGGGAGCAAACAGG